AAAGCUAGUAGCAUUGUGCCUUAUUUAGAUAUGUUGUGAAGGACCGUAACAACAAAAAGUUGAACUCUAGCAGAACAGUAUAAAUGAGCCUUUAAGGCUUGUGCAGUAGAAAGGCAGCAAAAAUGAUACAGCUAAGACAACAGGAGAAGCAACUAGAAUUCCAACAGNACUGUAGGAUACUAUAAGGAUGGGGAAGAUGCAGCCAUUUCUUGAAUACAAAAAAAAACCUUGCAGAGUUGAAGUUGCUUGAAUUUAGUAAAGGAUUUUAGUGUGUGAAAGCUGUGUUUAAGCAAAAACACUAAUGCUUUAGUUAGGAAAAAUUGAUCGAUGUUCUGGAUAAUAUUGUGAAAUACCAGGACAUGUUAAUUGUUUUUUUUUUUUUUGUUUUGUUUUUUUUGAAGCUGAGCUGAGUGCUUAAAGAAUUAUCUUGGAGACAAAGUUAUAGAAGUUUUCGCUGGGAUGAGGUGGUGCUUGGUCAAAAAAUCCAGUAUCAAGGAGUUAGUGUGACCUGCUUGGUGACGUGUUCAUUUUGCACCCAGACUGUUAUCGCUUUGGCUAAUAGAUGUGGUGUGUUUUCUGUCUUAGUGAGCUGGUAUAACUAUCUAGAAAAAUUGACUGCUCCUAAACAUUUAUCCUAUUAUUGUGUAAAAUAAUCAUCGGCCUUUUAGAAAACUUGAGUACAAUUGUAGUCAACAAGAAAAAUCUAGUCAUACUGAUCUAAUUUUGUCUUGUAAUGCUUAUAGCUCCAAAUACCUUGUACUUGUAUCCUUAGUUCCAUUUUGAAGCCCCCCCUGGGGCUUUACCUAGUCAUUGGCCUCACAGGAGGGUAAGAAAGAAGAACAGAAAUCUGUCCCGUGAUGUAUUUUAUACUUCUGCCUGGAAAAGUUUUAUGGGGAAUUUUUCUCAAUACCUACAGCAGUGGGACCAUUGUUCUACAGCCUACCCUACAUUACACUGAAUAGAAACAUUUUGUCAUUCUUGUUGUCACUUAGAUGUAUUUUUAUAUUCUGACGUUGCUGUGGACUUUCAUCUGUUCGACAUCUAGAGCUUGCUGCUAAUGCAUAUAUAUAUUUGCUCUUCAAGUUUUUCCAGAUCUGUCAUUUACAAAAUGCAUCUGCUUUUGCACCAGCAAAGUACACAGUUGGUGCUCUCCAAUUAACUAAGGCAUGAUUUAAAAGAAUUUUGAUUAACAUCCAGUGUUUUCAUUAUGUUUUGGCAUAUUUUGAUUUGACAGUUUAAAAGCUCUAGCUCAGUACUUCCUUUGUGCAGUUUGGUGGCAUUUUUCUCCACCAACAAAAUUUAUAAAAACUGUAGAGUCCUGCUCCAUUUCAGGGUCCUCUGAAGUAUAGGUCUACUGGAUACAUAAUGUAUUCUGAGAAUUAGCAAACUUAAUUAGACAGCCUCUUAUUAGGAACCAAGAGCUUCCUAACAUCAUCUUAUACAGCCACAUUAUGCAAAGCCAGGUGGUUUUAGGCUCAGGUGUCCUUUUUGGGUACAGGUUCCUCCUACAUAGUUGAUUUGAUUGGAUUAAGGGCUGUUCCAGUCACAGCAGGAAUGUCCCUUUCAGGGUUGAAUAUUUAAGGCUGUGAGGCAGUGUUGUUUGUCUGCAGGUUGUUGGCUUUCUUCAGACCAUUUUCCUCAAGUGUGCCAUGUAUUGAUGCUAUGAUAGGCUGAAGGUAUCCUAGCAUUUUAAUUUUAUUUUUUUUUACUGUGAACUACAAAUGUCUUAUGUCUACAGUUUGNAGAUUAAGCAAAGCUGUAUGACCAGUGCUAUCUCAGGAGGAUGCUGAGUCAUUAACUCAUGUUUAUUGCCUCUUGCCAUCUUUAGAUUAUUGCAAUUU
rnacentral:lncRNA from 1 species